rnacentral:rRNA from 1 species
UACGGGGGGGGCAAGCGUUGUUCGGAAUUACUGGGCGUAAAGGGCUCGUAGGCGGCCAACUAAGUCAGACGUGAAAUCCCUCGGCUUAACCGGGGAACUGCGUCUGAUACUGGUUGGCUUGAAUCCGGGAGAGGGAUGUGGAAUUCCAGGUGUAGCGGUGAAAUGCGUAGAUAUCUGGAGGAACACCGGUGGCGAAGGCGGCAUCCUGGACCAACACUGACGCUGAGGAGCGAAAGCCAGGGGAGCAAACGGG